GACGAACGCUGGCGGCGUGCUUAACACAUGCAAGUCGAGCGGUAAGGCCCUUUCGGGGUACGACGAGCGGCGAACGGGUGAGUAACACGUGGGUGACCUGCCCUCAGCUCUGGGAUAAGCCUGGGAAACCGGGUCUAAUACUGGAUAUGACUCCAUGACGCAUGUUGGUGGGGUGGAAAGCCUUGUGCGGCUGAGGAUGGGCCCGCGCCUAUCAGCUUGUUGGUGGGGUGANGGCCUACCAAGGCGACGACGGGUAGCCGGCCUGAGAGGGCGACCGGCCACACUGGGACUGAGACACGGCCCAGACUCCUACGGGAGGCAGCAGUGGGGAAUCUUGCGCAAGUGGGCGAAAGCCUGACGCAGCGACGCCGCGUGAGGGAUGACGGCC
rnacentral:rRNA from 1 species